rnacentral:tRNA from 1 species
GUAAAAAUAGUUUAACUAAAACAUUAGAUUGUGAUUCUAAAAAUAGAGAUUUAAAUUCUCCUUUUUACC